UCGAGACCCCGGCUCUGAUGUAAGUCCCCCCUCGCUCCUCCGCCGCCUGUAGCGUUUCCGCCCAGCGCCGGCUCAGGUGGGCAGGGGACCCGCCCGGAGGUGCCUCUCCGCCUCCCACGCAUGCCCACUUCCCUCCGCAGUCCGGGCCGCGCGGUUCCCGCCCUCUGCCUCAGUCUCCCCAGCUCUGCUCCAUCCCUGGCAGGCAGCCCCUUUCUGAGCUGGAGCUCUCGGCUCCGUGCUGUCUGCAGUGGCGCCGGACACCAGCUCACUUUUUCCCCUGCGAUCGGGCGUGCAUUACUCACCCUUCCUCUCGCUGCUCCUGGCAGCUCCGGCCCUGUGCCCCCAGGCAGUGGGGGGAAGCCCUCCUCUGCUCUGCCCAGAGUCCCUCUUCCCUCCCUGCCAGCCCGUGCGAGGGUCGUGCGUGGCUGGAGGAGCAGUGCGGGGCGGGGCGUCUGUGCCCUUGGCAUCAAUGGGUCGCAGGUGGGCCCGUGGCCUCUUGUUUUUAGAGAUCUACAGGAAGAGGAAGGGGUGGAGGCUCGGGAUCUCCACCUCUGAGACUCACGCUCUGCCCCCAAAGGCUGCUUUUGGUCAGCCCUGGAAGCGAGGGGGCCCUAGAGCCAGAGGUGUCAGCUUCGGGAAGGAGGGUUCCAGCGGCGGCACCUCCAGGGGUACCCCAGGCCAGCCGCACCUACUCCUGCUCUUGCUCACCCCGCAGAUGUUGCCCUCCGGUCGCCUGUGUCUCCUCACCAUCCUUGGCCUGAUGGUGCCCACUACAGGACACAGAUUGGAGAAUGUCACAUCCCUUUCUGCGGUGGAUCCAACUACUGUGAACACUCACGUUUUAACACAAGUGUCAGAUGCAGCCCGCCUAGAAGUCCAGUCCACUCCUCCGACCUCCACCGAGCCUGCUGAUGGUGAGUGGGCCGGGACAGGGCAGAGUCCCCGCUUCCCGUGCUGCUCUGGAUUUCUGGCUGGUCACCUCAGUCCCGACUCCUCUGCCCUCCCCCGCCCCACUCUGUGUCCCCCAGUUUACUUUGUGUUGGAGCAGCCAGUCAACUGCUUUCGGUUCUAA
rnacentral:lncRNA from 1 species